CCCGGCCCCAGCCCCGCCGCCCCAGCUCGGCCUCCCGCCUCGGGCCUACCCUCUCCGUGCUUGCUGGGAAGGAGCCCCUGGGGCUGGACCGCCAUGCGUGUGUUCGCCCCUCAAGGUCCCGGACAUUCUCUGUCCCCUGACCCCACUGAUUCCCACUCCCAACCAGGGGCCCCCAUUCAAAGCGAGGCUGGGGGAGAGGCCCCCCACCCAGCGUGGAAAAACACAGCAGGAAAACAGCCACUGGCAUUCACCUGCAGCAGACCGGCCUCCCUCUGCCCCAUAGACCCCAUGGUCCCAGGAGGCUCAUGGAGGGGGAUUCUAGAGCCACCUCAAAGCCCCUGGACCCCCAGUGCCUCCGAAUGUUCAAAAUGCGGAGGGAAAGUUGGUCAGAGUGUUUAUUGCAUCAUUAUUUGGAAUAAAACCUGGACAGAAGGUGAUGUACAGCUGAGGGCGUGUGCUGGCCCCACAGAACAGCCCUUCGCCCAGCCCCACUUCCCAGAGGUCCAGACCCUCUACCCUGCACCAGCUUCCUGAGCGCACACUCCCUUUGCCAGUGACCCCUCAUCCCACCCUCCCAUGUCCCACUGCCCUCAGCCCUGCUAAAGGCAAGGCCUUUGCACAGCCUGUUCCCUCUCGCUGAUUCUUGCCCCUUCUCUCCCUCCUACUUCUGUCUCUUGGGAUCCUGUCCCAGAGGAAGUGGAGGCUGUGGCCACCCCCCAUGCCCACACAACGGGGAGCAGGGGCGGUUCCCGCUGGGUCUGGGAUGCUCAUGGGCCCAGGUCGAGGUGCCUGGGGCAGCCAUGCUCCCAGCCUACGACCAGGGAAAGGUGCUUCUGAGGUGGUGAGGCGAGUGGCCCCGCACAUGGGGCAGCAGGUUCUUUUGGCCAAUUGUAUCUGUGCGGUCAGGUGACAGGAAAUUGGCACCCGGCCCGCACCCUUGGCAGUGGAACUGAGAAAAUGGGCCAGGGGUGCAAGGGGGGGAGACCAGGCCUCACUCGGAGAACCGGACACCCCUCAGCAACUCCCAGAGUCCAGCUAGGCCCCGCCCUAGUUCCCUAUGGCCACUCCCACACUGUCCCAGACCGUUUCCCUGCCCUUGAGGUCUCAGAGAGGAAGACAGAUCUGUGCUGGCAUGAUGGCUAGCAUGACCCACCUGCAGCUUCUGACGGAUGGCUAGGGACCACGCCAGAAGACAGCCUGCCCUGGGACCCCCCAGCCCUGAUGCUGGCUCCUGAGCUCUGAAUCUGGUGGGCCUAGAGAUCCCACUUCCAACCUGCAAGUGCCUGGGACAACGCCCUGCUCUGGCUGCCUCUGCCUUCACGCCCCACCAGGACCCCCCAGUGGGCAGCAGCUAAGGGGCAUUGGCCGUGGUGAGGACUCAGCUGCACCUCUCAAAGCCUGUACCCAUGAUCGGCCUCCCAGUCAACAUGGAAGCUGAAACUUAGGACUCUUGAUCCGCGCGGCGCCCGGGGGCGGAGGCAGGGCGAGGCCCCUCCCCACGCCGAGAACCUCGCGCGGGCUAGGAGGGGACGCGCUCUCCGGCCCGGCCCGGCCCCCACCCAGCACCCCCUGUGCCCCGCCCCUACCAGACGGAGCCGUAGGCGCCCGAGCCCACCGGGCGCAGCCCCUGCAGCCGCUGCGGCACCUCCCACACGGUCUUGUUCAGCUCCUGCCGGUAGAAGCCGGCGCGAGGGCCCGACAUGUCCGGACCGGCCGCCGCUCCGCCCGGGGCCAGCCCCGCGCCCCGCGCCCGCGCCCGAGCCGAGCCCGAGCCGAGCGGAGCGGAGCGGAGGGCGGCGGAGGCGGUGGCGGCGGGCGGGGCGGGGCUCCGGGGCGGGGCCGGGAGGCCCGGGCGGAUUUCCCGGGCUGGGUGGCUGGGGCGUGGGGGGGUUCCCGAAGACAAAUGCGCUGCUUCCUGCGCCUCGGAGGCGGCGGCGGAGCGGAAACCAGCCCUCCCCUUCCCGGGGGGGCGCCAAGGGCGGACACCUCCCUCCAGCUCUCACCUCCUGGGGGCCGCGCGCUUCUCCAGAUUUGCGCCCGCGUCUGGGCUCGACCCGGGCUUCCCCACCCCGGCGGCGCCCUCCCCAACGAGGAAGAACCGUCAAAACCGAAGAAGCCUUGGGUGAACCAUGGGAAGUAUUUUUCAUCAAGACAGAAAUAAGAAUAGCACCUCCCAAAGACUCGGCACUGGAUAGGAAAAUAAGCCGAAAGGCGUUGGGACAGGGCUGGCCUGGCUUUCUCACGCAGGAUCUGCAGGCCUUGGUCUGCGGCGCGCCUCGGAGAACCUUCCAGGCCUCCUGCCCCGGCUCGCCCUGACCUCCCCUCUGGGAGAGGUGCGACCGCUGGACUGUCAGGACCAGGGACAGCGGCGUCACCGCGGGGCCUUCCUACCCACAAACAGCGGCCCCAAACGGAUCCUUUUUGCUGCCCAGAACCUUUCCUCCUCCUUAGCUGCCACUUCUAGGAAGCCCACCCUGACUAUCCCAGGUCCGAGGAGCCGCCUUUGGGUGCAGGGUCCUUGAAGUCAGCCCCGCGGGCGGCCAGGCGCGGGGGGUUGCCUCGGCGGGGAAGGGGGCAGCGCUCCACUCCUUCUCGGCGUCUGUGCCGCGCCCGGGGCCGCACAGCUACUUUUAUUCCCACUGGAAAGUGACCAGGGCUCGGAGGAGCAUUGCCUCCUGGAGCACCGGUCACCGACCUCCGCCCUGGUAGAGCAGUGGGUGGGAGGUUUCGUGGCUGGGCGGCCCCCUCCAGCGAAGUGAGAAAUCAGGAUCCCAGUGGCCCAAAUAACUCCUUUUUUAAAACAUUAAAAUCCGAGUUUUAAUAUCAAA